rnacentral:rRNA from 1 species
CCCUUAGAUGUUCUGGGCUGCACGCGCGCUACACUGAUGCAUCCAACAAGUUUUUUCCUUGUUCGAGAGGACUAGGUAAUCUUAUGAGAAUGCAUCGUGAUGGGGAUAGAUUAUUGCAAUUAUCAAUCUUCAACGAGGAAUUCCUAGUAAGCGCGAGUCAUCAGCUCGUGCUGAUUACGUCCCUGCCCUUUGUACACACCGCCCGUCGCUGCAACUGAUUGGGUGACCUGGUGAACAUCUUGGACCGGCCCACUCAAUUUCGAGAGGACUGGAAAAGGCCGUAAAUCAGGUACAUCUAGAAAUUGCAAAAGUCGUAACA